GAAAUGGCUACUGUUGUUACAGAAGACUGUCCUGAUCUGCACAUCAGGAGCAUCAUAGAACUGCUUGAACAUGAAGAUCUUACACCGGAACAGAAGGACACAGUUUCAGAUCUUUCCAUGUCUUGGGAUCUUCCGGCAGUCACCAAAACAAAUCGGAGAUGGCUACAUAACAAACUUCUACUCCAUGCAGUCGUUGGGAGGACCAUGCGCCAAAUUAAACAGUUGAGAAAGGGACUGAAAGAUGUGAUGGUAUGGCCCCUGCUGACAUCUAGGCCGGAUGUUGUACCACUUCUUUUCCCCAAAAUGGCUGAAAUGCAGUUCACACCCCAGAUGCUCCUAGAAAAAAUCACAUGGCUGAUGAAGAUGAUGAAGACUUUGACUUAGACACCACCUGCCGCAUCACUGGCUUUCUAAGGAUGUUCAUUGAAACAGCUUCAUCAGGUACCCUGGCCCAGCUGCUGACAUUCUGGGUUGGCUGGGAGAUGCUUCCUCCUGAACUGAGAGUGGAGAUUUCUGGGGAAC